UAAUACCGGAUAGAUCAAAGAUACUGGAAUGUUCCUUGAUCCAAAGCUCCGGCGUCCAAGGAUGGAGCUGCGGCCUAUCAGGUAGUAGUGGGUGUAACGUACCUACUAGUCUGCGACGGGUACGGAUUGUGAUAGCAAGAUCCCGGACAUGGAUUCUGACACAUGAAUCCAGGCCCUACGGGGCGCAGCAUGCGCGAAAUCUUUACACUGCAGGAAAGUGCAAAAAGGGGACCCCAAGUGUCAGCAUGGAAUGCUGGCUGUCCAGCUGUGUAAAUAGCAGUGGUUAGCAAUGGCCGGGCAAGACGGGUGCCAGCCGUCGCGGAAACACCGGCGCCCCGAGUGGUAGCCGUUAUUAUUGUGUUUAAAGGGCCCGUAGCCGACCUAUUAAGUCUCUUGGGAAAUCUGGCGGCUUAAUCGUCAGGCGUUC
rnacentral:rRNA from 1 species